GACACGUUGAUAUUGACCAUACAAUUGUGAAAUUAUUUCGGAAUAAGUACACUACUCGUGUUUGUGGUUUAAGCCGGCUUCACGAUAAUAAUGUUACUGAGAUACUUUAGAAAUGGACUUGUUUUACAUAUUUUACUGAAUAUCCCUUUCUUUACUGCUUCUGUCUGGUUGUUGGAUAAAUUCAAGUUUUUGAAGACAGUUGACGAACAGGUCCAAGUUGGAGAAAUCGUUCCAUCCACAAACUAUGAAGUGGCCAGCUACGUCAACCACUCGCUAUAUUUCUCUUUGGCUUUGCUGAUGCUUUGCAUAUUCUUGGAUAUCAUACGGAUUCUUUUGGAAAAUAUUUGGCAGAUAGAACUAAUGUACAACCUGAAUUGGAGUCUUACCAGACAGUGCAUCUUCGCAGUUUGUGCAGCCUUUGGAAUUGGGGUCAUCUACCUUACCAUGUACGUCACGUUAGGAAUCAACGUUGUGCCUGACCUUGAUCUUAGGUUCAUCCUCUUGGUUUGGUGCCUUUUCAAACGGCUUGUCACUUUCUUUGUACGCGGCUGGUGAUAGGUAUGGUGCAUCUCUACGUUGAAAGGUUUACAAUGGGACUGUAACACAAGAUACAACAUCGUGAUAUGGUACAGCGAAUGAGCGUCUGUUUGUGUUGACGCCCUCUUAGGUCAGAAUAACCUGAACUUCCAACAAACUAUUUCAAAACAAUGACCUUCAUAUCCAUUUGAAUUUGUCUAUUUUUGUAAAAGAAGAAAAUAAAACACAAGUGGUGAAUUCAUUUUCACCUUUAUUGACAUCAUUUGUGAACCUGUUAUUGAUGUCGUUUUUAUAACAAUCUAACCUAUUAAUGUGCUUGUUGUUUUAUAUUUUGUAUUAUUUCUUCAUGAUUCUUGUUGACUCUUAUAUGUUUCCGAGUGAUAUUGUUUGUGUAUUGUGAUACUCACGUUUUUUUCUUCCUCUUUUUACUUUUUGUACGUUUCUACUUAAAAUGAUGCCAUGAAGUGUAAUGCAAUACUCCAGUUUUUUUAAUUUUUUUUAAUUUUUUUUUUAUCUUUUUUUACUUUAAAUUUUAUUAAAAAUGAUGGCCAUUAUGUUAAAAUGUAUAUCUAUACAAAUAUUGCCAAUAUCGAUAUUUUAUCAGGAAGAUGUCUCAGAGAGAUUAACUGGUUGUAUGAAAACUAUCUCUAGUUUACUACUAAGAUGUCUUGAAAUACAAGUAAAUCCAUUUAUGAUGAAUUCUAAACUGUUCUCAAUGUACAAACUACAUUUUAAAAGCGGUUGAUUGACAUAGGAAAAAUUGGAACAUAAUAUACUUUAAACAAACAUUUCUAGAGAACCAUACAUUGUGGAAUAAGGUGCACAAAAGAAGGACACUAUUUCACACACUUUUGUCAAUUUACGAGCUUGGCAGAUAGAAAAAUUAUUCAUCAGAUGACGUUUUCGUAAGAUAUUUUUAGGGAAGUUGAAGAUUGAACCGCUUUAUAACUUAGAUAUGGUGAUCAAGAAAAUAUAAAUAAAUCCAAAAUUUUGUAUAUAAUAUUAAUGUGAAAAGUAAGAAACAAGCUCAGUAGCCAAAAGUUUAAACAUAAACCCCGUUUAAUGGCACAGGGUAAACGCCAAAGACAUAGAACACAAAAACAACAUAAAAACCCACACACAAUAAACAAGGAACAACAACACAAAACGCCACAAACAACACAGUGCAUGUAUACUAUAUAAAAUACUAUAUAAGUCAGAUUGUUCUAUAUUGUUAUUUAACAAUCAAGAUAAGUAUAUGCUCAGAGUUAGAUAUCCUUUUUUCGAAAAUAAUAUAUGUAAUCAAGUAAAUGUUAAGCUAUAACACAAAUACUCUUGUUUGUAAUAUCAUUCUGUGCAAUCAUUAUGUCAUAUGUCAUAAAUCUAUUUCUUUUCUCUUUGUUGUAUAUUCUUCUAAUGCAUUCAUGUACUUGACCAAUUGCACAACGGUGUUAACGUACACUGACAUACAAUUCAGGCAUGGACACAAUUUUAUUGAGGUUUAUUUUUUGCUAUUUUUCUGUCUCUUAAAGUUUAAGAUAUUGUUGCUUAACCAUACAAAGUUAACUCUUUCUGUUUUAACAAAUACUUCUUAAAAAUAAAAUAGAAACUCGUUUUUUAAAAAUCUAUAAGUAUGAUGUAAAAGAAAUGCUAUUUUUAUAUGUGGGAAACCUGUUCAACUGAUUUCCUGAUUUAGACACCCGCAAUUCAUUUAAAGCAAGGACACGUUGACAUCGUCAAACGAAAGUGCGAAAUUAUUGUGGAAUAAAUACGCUACUUGUGAUUUUGGUUUAGCCCGGCUUGACGAUUCUACAAAAUGUUGGAUAAUUGAAAUUCUGAAAUGCUUUAUAAAUGGACUUGUUUUACAUAUUUUACUGAAUGCCCCUCUCUUUACUGCUUGUGUUUGGUUGUUGGAUAAAUUCACGUCCUUAGCAAAGGAGACAGUUGACCAACAGGUCGAAGUUAGAGAAAUGGGUAAGUUGUCUAAGUUAAAUAAAAUUGGUGAAUUUCAGGGACCAUUUACAUACAACACCAUUUCUACUUCACGUAAUAGAUACUGUUGUCGUAUAAUCAAAGUCAACGAAUUUAUUUUACACUGAAAAAGUAUAGCUUCUGAGAAAAAAAGCGUUUAAAUCAGGUAUUUUUGUGAAAAAAAAAACCACAAAGAUACUAGUAUAAAAUUGUGGUACAUUGUUGGGCGGCCUAAGGUUUGUCACACCUGUGUCUCAGUCAUUUUAGUUGGAAUUGAAGAAUAGUGAUGAAACUUGUGUGUUUGUGGCUUAUGUUCUGACGUAUCUUCAGGUUGAUUUUGUGGUUAGUAGAGUCAAGGUCAAUCUCAAUACUUUUAGAUAUAAUUGAUGUAUUGUGUUUAAACUUUGAAUUUGCCCAUGUGGGGACAUAGUUUGAGAUUGCUUUUUGUGGUCACUAGUGUCAUGGUCAAGGUCGCUGUAACUAGGAGCGGAAACAAUAAAUUUACAUCUAACUUAAGUUUAAUGAUGAAACAUAGUUUGUAGGAAACAUUUGUGAAGAUUUUUAUAGAUAGUCAUACAAGAUUUUUCUAGGAAGUUUAUGUAAAGACGUUUCUUGUGAUUUAAUUUGCGAUCAGUAGGGUGUGUGUCUCGUUAAAAUUAACAUAAAACCUAUUGUACUUUAUAACCUAAGUUUGCAGUGUUAUAAAACUUCGUAUAAAGACGGUCAUGUGAGGUUUGACUAUGGAAUUGUUUUUUGGGUCAGUGUCAUGAUCAUUGAUAAUAAUAAUUUCAAUAAAUUGUCUACUGAGUUUAGAAGACAUGUGAUGUUGCCGCUAGGUGUAAAUGAGGCUUGAACAAAGCUGUACCCUAUGAUUAGAUGAAGUGUCGAUGUUCAAGAGAAAAAUGGAAAACAGCUUUGGCAGAAUCACGUUAAGAAAUCCUUGCAGUUAUUAAUUUUAACAAUCUCAUGAAUACAGUUUAUAGAUACCAAUCGCAUUAAAGAUGCACUAUUACUACCAAAUAAUAUUUAGCACAUUUAAUACAAUUGUUUAAAUAUACUAGAAUGGAUGAACACAUGUCGAAAAAAAAAAUAUGCUUAUGAAGGAUACCGAGUUUUAUUUAAAAGAAAUGUGCAGAAAACACGGUAUUGCUACCUUAAGAGACCAUAGUAAAUCUUUUAGAAUUCACCAUCGUUUAAUGUUUUUUUGAGUUUUCAGCUAUUAAACUCACGGUUAUAAUAAUAUAAAUAGUAAUUAAUAUUUUCCAUAAAUGCAUUAUUUAGUAAG